GAUGAACGCUGGCGGCGUGCCUAAUACAUGCAAGUCGAGCGAACAGAUAAGGAGCUUGCUCCUUUGACGUUAGCGGCGGACGGGUGAGUAACACGUGGGUAACCUACCUAUAGGACUGGAAUAACUCCGGGAAACCGGGGCUAAUGCCGGAUAACAUGUUGAACCGCAUGGUUCUACAGUGAAAGGCGGCUUUGCUGUCACUUAUAGAUGGACCCGCGCCGUAUUAGCUAGUUGGUGAGGUAACGGCUCACCAAGGCAACGAUACGUAGCCGACCUGAGAGGGUGAUCGGCCACACUGGAACUGAGACACGGUCCAGACUCCUACGGGAGGCAGCAGUAGGGAAUCUUCCGCAAUGGGCGAAAGCCUGACGGAGCAACGCCGCGUGAGUGAUGAAGGUCUUCGGAUCGUAAAACUCUGUUAUUAGGGAAGAACAAAUGCGUAAGUAACUGUGCGCGUCUUGACGGUACCUAAUCAGAAAGCCACGGCUAACUACGUG
rnacentral:rRNA from 1 species